rnacentral:rRNA from 1 species
CCUACGGGUGGCUGCAGUGGGGAAUAUUGCACAAUGGGCGCAAGCCUGAUGCAGCCAUGCCGCGUGUGUGAAGAAGGCCUUCGGGUUGUAAAGCGCUUUCAGCGGGGAGGAAGGCGUUAAGGUUAAUAACCUUGGCGAUUGACGUUACCCGCAGAAGAAGCACCGGCUAACUCCGUGCCAGCAGCCGCGGUAAUACGGAGGGUGCAAGCGUUAAUCGGAAUUACUGGGUGUAAAGCGCACGCAGGCGGUCUGUCAAGUCGGAUGUGAAAUCCCCGGGCUCAACCUGGGAACUGCAUUCGAAACUGGCAGGCUAGAGUCGUGUAGAGGGGGGUAGAAUUCCAGGUGUAGCGGUGACAUGCGUAGAGAUCUGGAGGAAUACCGGUGGCGAAGGCGGCCCCCUGGACAAAGACUGACGCUCAGGUGCGAAAGCGUGGGGAGCAAACAGGAUUAGAUACCUAGUAGUC